rnacentral:tRNA from 1 species
GGCGAGAUAGCUCAGUUGGUAGAGCGAUGGACUGAAAAUCCAUGCGUCCCCAGUUCGAUUCUGGGUCUCGCCA